UUAAAGAUAAAUUGGAAAAAAUUCCAUUUGUUUUCUUUAAUCAGUAGUCCUAUACGGUUUCCCUAAGCUAGAGUCAUCGCGUUCCUAAUUCCAUGAAAAUUCAUCUUUUGUCGGAGACUACCUUAUCAAGAAGACUUACUUCACAUUUUUUCAUGCUUGCUUGAAUAUUUGGAAACUCUAUUGCCACCACCUCCUUUUUUCCCUCCGUUAAAAUAAAUUUAUGAAGGCGUUCUUCCGCCAUCUUCGCACCGUAAAAUUCCUGAUACUUAUGAUUUAGAGUUUGGUACAGAGAACGAAAGUUUGCCAAAAGAAAGAGUUUCUCUGAUUCAAAGGCUUUAGCUCAGACAUUGCAAAUAUAGUUUCUUUUAUCUUUUUGGUUCCAAAAAGCUUUAUCUUUACAUGAAGUUAGUGGUGGAGCAAGUGUAAAGAAGGUCGUUCAAUUGGAUUCGUUUUCAGAAAAUUAUACAAUGCAGACCUCAAUCAAGCCUCACGGGCCACAGGCUUAUUCGGGCCGGGCUUAAAAGCCUCGUUUUUAAACGGGCUUCAAAAAUUAUAGCCCUGACCUGUUAAAUCACGGGCUGGGCUGGCCCAACGGGCCAAGCCCAUAUUGACACCUCCACAUUUAUUUAAGUCUUAUCUUGUAUUGAGUAGACAGUAUUGGACAGUAUCUUAGUGGCAAAUUGGAGUAAACUUUAAUUUCUUUUGUACG
rnacentral:lncRNA from 1 species